GACAGAGGGUGCAAACGUUGUUCGGAAUUACUGGGCGUAAAGCGCGUGUAGGCGGCCAUCUAAGUCGGGCGUGAAAUCCCACGGCUCAACCGUGGAAGUGCACUCGAAACUGGAUGGCUAGAGUCCUGGAGAGGAAGGUGGAAUGCUUGGUGUAGAGGUGAAAUUCGUAGAUAUCAAGCGGAACACCGGUGGCGAAGGCGGCCUUCUGGACAGUGACUGACGCUGAGA
rnacentral:rRNA from 1 species